rnacentral:lncRNA from 1 species
ACAAGCAAGAACCCACACAUGCCCCAGUGUGUUUUGUUUGUACACUCAGUCCUCAAACCUUGUUCUAAAUGACCAAAAUUAAGGAUGCUUCUUCUAAAUUGUAAUCGAUAUAAGGCUCAGUUGGGACCCCAACAGCUCAAGUACAUGACAGUCCUCAAAGCCUCUUCUGAUUGUUUAGACUGCCUCAGUCCUUUGGAAAUUGCGGCUGAGGAUUGAGAUGAGAGGUUCUUGGCCUGAGAAGCUGAUCUCAUAUGGUUCUUGGCAUGCUGGACAGCUGACCUUACAGUGUAGUUCCAUCUGCAGAUACCUUGGUCUUUCAGAGCCUCCACAGCUCCAAUACUAGCUGCAACAAUCCAUGCUCUGCUUGUUGAACUCAUCUUUGCAAAUACUUCUCUUAGAUUAUUGAAUGUUGAAAUUGAAGAAAGCUUAUAUAAAGACGGAUAGACUGUGAUUUUGUUGAUUGAUGCUUAAGCGAAGGGGGCUGCUUAUAUUUAUAGGAUAGGGAUAGGGAUAGGGAUCAAAAAGCCAUAAACUGGGGGAAAGGAACGACAGGCCAUCUGCUCUAGCUCAUGGUUUUUGGAGACGAUGGUUUUGUUUAUUUUGGGCAGGUGGGUUGGACCUACUUGGAGUUAUCCUUAUGACCCCAAUUAGCUGAGGGCAAUGAAUGGUAUUUAGGAUAAUAAUUCAAUCUUGGGAUGAUUAAAGAUGGCCCACGGGCACACCAUUUAUUCUAAAUAAUUAAAUAGCCAGUGAGGAGUAUGGGAGUACAAAAGUCCAAACCACCUGUUUUCUACCUCGGUAUUUGGAGGAAAACAGGAGGCAAAUUUUGGCACAUGACCAAACUCAGUGCCACGUACUGAGUUCGUCAUUGAAUAUUUACAAUCUCUUAGGUUAUGUGCUACCCAAUUCUCUAAUCCACGUUGCAGCGGGAUUGGCUGACACACUAGUAAUUCAUGCAAAUAACUUAAGAGUAUCGAAUUUUGAACCAUAAAUUUUCCUGGAAAAAAAGAAAAAACUGAAGAGCUGGUAUUAACUAAAUAAUUAUUUCGGAAAAAGCAUUAACAAAAAUAAUUAGAACAAAAGAAUUGAAGAAACCCAGACACUUUACUUCAUGGUUGAGACUCAAAACAUAUCCUGUCUACGGUUUAAUUCGAAUUUUAAAGAUCCUGCAGGGAAGAUUUUUUUUUUCUUCAAAGAAAAAGAAAUUGUCAUUAAUUUGAUGUAUUUUUUCCCAUACUUUUUUAAUCUAUUUUAAUUAUUAUAAUUUUAUACAAUUUUUUUAAUAUAUUUUUUAAUGCAUUCAUGUAUAAAUAAAUUUUAUUUAUAUUAUUAUCUUAAUUUUCAUAUUAGAGAUAAAUAUCAUCAUGUCUUUAUUUAUUUAGUUUUCCAUUACAAUUUCAUUUAGAAAAUAUGUAUUUAAGUUAUAUUUUAUUCAAAAAGAAGGAAAAAAAAAUUAUCCUUUUGUCAGAGAAAAUAGGAAGGCUUUCAUAGCCAUUCAAUAUAGAUUCCAAAUGAUAUAUCUACAAUUUUCAUAUUCCCUCGCCAUUCUGAAGGACUACAAUCUAACAUACUACAACUUCAUACAUUUACAUAUAUGUUUGGAACAAUUGCAGGAGGAAAUAUGUUGGCCUGAGAAUAUGAUCUGAGAUUGUUGUUGACAUGUUGGACCUUAUUACAUGAUUCUGCCUGCAAAAGCCUCAAUGUGUUUGAUUGCUCAGUCGUCGUCAAACCUUCUUCUGAAUGUCCAAAGCUUGCACUCACGAGUCAAUGAUUCACCCAAAUAAAGGAUGUUUCUUCUAAAUUGUAAGCGAUUUUGACAGAUUUAAGGCUCAGUUGGGACCCCAACAACUCAAGUACAUGACUGUCCUCAAAGACUCUUCUGAUUGUUUAGACUUGUUCAGUCCCUUUGAAAUUGCAGCUGAGGAUUGAGAAGAGAGGUUCUUGGCCUGUGAAGCUGACCUCACAUGGUUCUUGGCAUGCUGCACAACUGACCUUACUGUGUAGUUCCAUCUGCAGAUACCUUGGUCUUUCAGUGCCUCCACAGCUCCAAUACUAGCUGCAACAAUCCAUGCUCUGCUACUUGAACUCAUCCUUGCAAAUACUGUAAUCUUGAUUCUUGAAAUAGAAAUAGAAGCUUGUUUAAGAGAAAUACUGUGUGAUUUUGUUGGUAGGUAAGUGAAGGGGGCCGCUUAUAUUGAUAAGAUGGGGGAAUAAUGAUGGAUUAGAAAGCCAAAAAUUAGAAGGAAACUACGGGCAAUUUGCCGGUGGUUUUCGACAGUGGUUUUUAGUUUUCUUUCCAUGGCAAGGUAGGUCCGACGCAUUUGGUAUAGUAUGACUUAAAUACCCAUCUAAAAUCACUUGAUGACAGGAAAUAAAUGAGGGCAAUAAAUGAAAUUUAGGACAGCAUUCAAUCGUGACAUUAUUAAAAAUGGGCUUGUUUAUUAAUAAGUUUCAACUUGGAGACCUGAAAUAUGUGACUACAAAAAGUCUAAACCACCUGUUUUCUCCCCUGGGAUUGGGAAUUGGAAAACAGACUGCGGUUAUUUUUUUUUUUUCAUUUUAUGAAUAAAAAAUCAUCCUCCUAGGGAAGAAGGUCCAAGUGAUGAUCCUAUUAUCUAUGGAAGUUUUUGGAAGAGCAUUUAGAGUAUUGAAUUGAUCCAGUGGUAUGUACUGAUGCGAAUUAGAGAUUGAGACAUUUGAAUAUUUUAUGUUUGCCCACGCAGAAGGUGUUUGGAAAGUUGUAACGUUAAGUUACUGUCCAAGAAAAGAGGGUUUAGAGGAUUCCCGCAUUGGUGGUUGGAGAUUUUGAAUUGGCUCGGGAAAAAUGGGUUGUGGUCUGAAGUUGGUUUGAUUGCUAAUACUUGUUGGUCCCUUUGGAAGGCACGGAAUGAGUUGAUGUUUGACAACCGUGCUUGCGAUUCGAUUGCGACUUGGAACAGAGCUUUGCUCGACAACCCUUGCGUUUCUGAAGGAAGCGAUCAAAUGAAACCGGUUCAUAACGUGAGUGAAAAUCAAAGAUGGAGAAAACCAACAUUUGGAACUGUUAAAAUUAACUGUGAUGCGUUGAUGGAUUCGGGUUCUCCAAUGACUGGUGUAAAGCCCAAAAUUUGCUCGGGCCCAACUCACUCAAAACAGUCAAAUUACAAAAAAAAACAAGCUCAGAUUUCACUACCCAAAUUACAAUGCCCAAAUAAACCAAAACCCUAAAGCCCAAAUGGCCCAAAAUCUAAAACAAUUUCAACCAAACAAAAAGAAAGACAGAAACCCUAGGUGCGCCGCACAUAGGUCCACACGCGCGAUGCCUUCACACGCCUCCACGUCCACUGCUCCGUACAUGCAAGAAGGAUAAACAACCUGCAACGAACACACGGCAGCAAAAAGAAAUGACAGAAAAGGGGCAACAAAGGGGAUUUGGGAGAUUUUCUUUUUAUUUUAUUUUAUUUUUAUUUUUUUCUGUAAUUCUGGCCAUAAAAAGGCCAUUCGAAUAUUGUAAACAAAAGGGAGGAGGCAUAUUGUAUACAAAAAAAAAAUUCAGAGGAAUCGAAAACAAAAAAAAAAGGAUUUGAAAAGGUGAUUUGUAGUUGCUUUUGUUCUGGGUUUUUCUUUUGCCUUUCUCGGUUUCCUUUCAUUUCUGUCUUUUUCUAUAUAUGCAAAACAACAAAAAAGAGAUAAAAAAGGGGCUUAGGGAUCUUAACGGGGGUCGGUACGUCGCCAAAUCUCUCCACCGUUUAGGUCGAGGUUGAAUGAGAGGGGAGGGACCUUCGAUUUUGAAUCGGCGCAGAGAGGAGAGCGUUCGGAUUCCUUUUAUUUAUUUUUUGUUUUUUAUUUCCGUUUUGAAAAAUGAAAUGGUGGCUACCAAUUUAGGGUUUGGCUUUUGACCUUUGCCUGUUGUAUGAAACGACGCCGUUUGGAGUCUGACCAGUGGCUCCAAAACGGCGUCACAUCGAUCCAGAUCCAUUAGCAACCCGACCCGCUCCAUGGGGGAUCCGCGUGUUUUGAUUAAUGGGUUAUUUACAACCCUGGUCCCUCCGCUUUUCAAGCGCGUUUCAAUCUAGUUCUUUUAUUUCUUUUUAAAUUUAAUCUCUUAUUUCAUUUUUGUUUCAUUUUAACCCAGCUUGCAACGCUACGUUUUGGGGAAGCGAGAUAUUUCCCAAUCGGCCCCCAUGUAAUUCGCGCAUUGCAGUAUAACCUUCCAUUUUAACUUAAUCUUAUUUAUUUCCUAAUAAUUCGAUUUUGAUUGCGAUUUAACUCUUUUCAUUAUUCAAUUUUUUUAUUAACAAAUUUACUGUUAUUAUUAUUAUUAUUAUUAGUAUUAUCCUACGUAUAUUUAUCAUUAUUAUAUUUAUUAUCAUUUUUAUAUAUCUGCUUUUCGUAUAUAUGCAUUAUUUUAUUUUGCAUGCAUCUUUUUAAGGUUUCUUUCAAAAUUUUUUUAUAUAUAUUUACCCUUUGUUAUGACAUACUAUUAUUAAUAUUUCUUAAGUUUAUUUUAUUUUAAAUGUGCUUUUUAUAAAUUCACUCAUUAUAUAUCUUAGAUUUAUAUAAAUAUACACUUUCAAGUAAUACUAUUAUGUGAUAAUACUACAUAUGUACACUUAUUCUAUGUCGAAUUAUUUUCAUUAUAUAUAUGCAUACAUACGUACAUAAUCCAUUGUUAAUUUCACAUUAUCAUAUAGAUAUUUUAUUUCUCUCAAACAUUUUAACAACCUAUUUUAAAGAUUGUUAAUUCAUUCAAAUUUGUUUCAACUUUUUAAUUUAUUUAAAUUAGGUUUAAGCUUAUAUAUUUCAUUUGAGCUAUGUGAAUUUGCUUGACUUUUAAUUAGCCUCCUCUUGUUAGCCAAUGUUGAUAUUUAUGUGAUCUAUGUUUGAAAUUAUUAUUGUCAUGCUUGUUCGUAUUUGUUCAUUGGUUGCUUAUUGUUCAUUGAUGUACAUUUUAUCUUUGAAUUAUCCUUUUCGCGUUUUAUGAAAACAUUUAACCAUAUUACAUUGUUUAAGAGAUUGUAUUUUACUAAAAUAUCGAAAUAGUUUUAAGUUUCCAAAAUACCCUACGUCCAAUGAUUCUCAAGAAAAUUGUGCCCUAACUUACUAGGCUUCGAUUUUCUUCGUUGAAUUUAGGUGGCCAAUGUCUUUAAAAUAAAACCGUAAUUUUUAAAUAAAUUUUCUCGGGAUUUCAAAAUGUUGGUCCCUAACUCACUAGAUCUGACAACUUUACUACCUCGAAUUAAGGAUUUUUAAGAUAAAUGCAAUAUUUGGUGUUUAAGAAUCUCGAGAAAUUAAACCCUAACUUACUGGGUUUUAACUUACCGUUUAACUCAAAUAACCAGAUAUCCUUCUCAAAUUAAAACACGCGAGUUUUAAAAAUUUAAAAGAUAUACCUAAUUUCGAAGAUUGAACUGUCGUACUCUAACUUACUGAGUGUGGCAAUUUAUCUUCUCGAAAUAAGUGAGUCUAUCAUCCAAUUCAUUUUAUUCGAAUUUUCUUUUUAAAGGAUCGUAUUUUAGAAUCUUUUCAAAAUUUCGACAUUAAGACAUUAAACAAUCAAUUCGGUACAAAUUUUGAGCGUCACGAGGGUGCUAACCCUUCCUCGUGUGUAACCGACUCCCGAACCUGUUUUCUCAAAAUUCGCAGACCUAAAAUUAUUUUCAAGAUGAUCCGAUCAUACCUCAAUAAAAGAUCGGUGACAACCCCAUUUUCAUUUUUAAAAGUCGAUUUUCCUUUUUAAAAAAUUUUGUUUUUCAAAAAAAUGGUUUCGACAACUGGUAUUGCAGUAAUUGCACGAGAUUGUAAUGAAAAAUUCUUGACGGAAUCAACGCACUUGUUCGGACUACAUCUGUACGAGUGGCUGAGGCCUUGGCCUUAAGGCUUGGUUCGGUUCUUGAAAACAGAUGGCAAUGGCAAUCUAUUAUCUUUGAAUCUAACAACAAGGAGCUGAUUUACUCUGAAGAAUAAAGUCGGUUAAAUUCUGAUAUAUCAGGAAAGCGUCAAAAAAAUAGAGUUGAAAAUUUGAAGAAAAAACAACAGAACUGAAACAGGGACAUCGAUUUCAGGAGAAAAUAGCACAAAAAUAAAAAACAAACAAGUCUCAAAAUUCUUUUCAUUAGUUAUAUGAAGACAGAGAACUCAUUUCUUACAUCCAUUUGUAAGUUAUAUACAUUAUGCAAGCAAAGAACCCAGCCAUGCCCCCAGUCCUCAAACCUUGUUUUGAUUGACCAAAGCUUGCACUCAGGAGUCAAUGAUUCACCCAAAUUAAGAAUGUUCCUUGUAAAUUGUCAUCGAUUUUGACAGACUUAUGGCUCAGUUGGGACCCCAACAGCUCAAGUACAUGACAGUCCUCAAAGACUCUUCUGAUUGUUUAGACUUGUUCAGUCCCUUUGAAAUUGCAGCUGAGGAUUGAGAGGAGAGGUUCUUGGCCUGUGAAGCUGACCUCACAUGGUUCUUGGCAUGCUGCACAACUGACCUUACUGUGUAGUUCCAUCUGCAAAUACCUUGAUCUUUCAGAGCCUCCACAGCUCCAAUACUAGCUGCAACAACCCAUGCUCUGCUUGUAGAACUCAUCUUUGCAAACACUUGAUUCUUGAAUGUUGAAAUUGAAGAAAGCUUGUAUAAAGACAGAUACACUGUGGUUUUGUUGAUUGAUGCUCAAGUGAAAGGGGGUUGCUUAUAUUUAUAGGAUAGCAAAAAAGGGGUGGUCCAGAAAGCCAAAUAUUAGGAGAAAACAACAGGCUAUAUGCUCGUGGUUUUCCUUUUCCUGGGCGGGUGGGGUUGGAUGCACUUGGAACCAUAUGACUUAAAUGCCCAUCUGAAAUCACUUGACGACAACAAAUAGAUAUAGGAUAAUAUUCAAUGAAUGCACGGUGGGCACAUGGUUUGCUCUUAAUAAACUAAUAGCGGGCUGACUACGGGAGUACAACAGUCCAAACCACGCAAUUGGGAAUUGAAAAACAAGAGGCAUAUUUUGGAAUAUGAUAAGAGCAAACUUUUCGCCACGUAUUGAGUUCGUAAUCAAAUAUCUGUACAAUUUCUUUGUUUAUAUAUAGUCACUCCUUGCUUAUGAGCUAGUAUUGGUAUGUGCUUCCCGAUCAUCUAAUCUACCUGGCAGCAGGAUCGCCUGACCGACUAAUCAUUCAUGCAAAUAAUUUAACUUUUUUAAUAUUUACUUCAUUUCGUAAAGAAAAAUUAGUAUAAGUGAAAAAGGACAGACGUCUGACGUAAAUAAAGACCAACGGUUGGGUUUAAUGUAGUUCAUGGUAAUAAAAUUGAUGUUUUAUUAUUAAAAAAAAUUCAUAUUUUUAUAGAAAGAGCAAAGGUUGGAAUAAAACGCACAAAGUUAUGAAACUAGAAAUUGACAUCAUCUAUUACAAAACUAAGGUAAGUUGCAUCUAUCUGAUUGUUAGAUUUUAUGCAGAGCAAAAGGCAAGUACUGAUUCAUGUCUCUUCCAAGAUUUCUAACUUUUUAGAAAUGUAAAAUAAUUCUAGUGCUAUGUCCUAUUAAUUUUUGCUGCAUGUAUAUACAGAAAAUCAGAUGCUAACUUUUAUUUAGUUUAACAAAAUAAAAUAGAAAACAUAAAAAUUAAUUGCAUGAUUAUAUAUAAAUUAAGAACACAAGUUGACAAAAUUGCUCCUUUUCUUCUAAUUAAAAGUAGCUUUCACAGCUAUUCAAUACUACAAUUUUCAUAUCCCCUCUCCAUUUUCAAGGACUAAAAUCUAACACACUACAACUUCAUAUAUGCAUAUAUAUAUAAUAGAACGACCAUCAGUGUCAGCAAGGCCCCCAACAGCUCAAGAAUAUUACUUUCCUCAAAGUUUCUUAGCCUGCUUAGUUUUUUCAUCAAAAAGUCUGCUUCGAACAGUUGCAGAAGAAGAAAGCUUCUUGGCUUGAGAAUCUGAUCUGAGAUUGCUGUUGACAUGUUGGCUAAGUGACCUUUAUUGCUUGAUCUUUCAAAGCCUCAACGGCUCCAACACUUGCUGCCCAGCCAUGCCCCACUAUAUUUGAUCGCUCCGUCUUCAAACCUUCUCUUUAAUGUCCAAAGCUUGAACUGACGAAUCAAUGAUUCACCCAAAGGAUGUUCAUACUAGCUUCUAAUGAGAAUUAAGAUGGCUCAGUUGGGACCCCAGCAACUCAAUUACAUGACAGUCCUCAAAGACUCUUCUGAUUGUUUAGACUGCCUCAGUCCUUUGGAAAUUGCAGCUGACGAUUGAGAGGAGAGGUUCUUGGCCUGUGAAGCUGACCUCACGUAGUUCUUGGCAUGCUGCACAACCGCCUUUGCAGCAUAGUUCCAUCUGCAGAUACCUUGGUCCUUCAGUGCUUCCACAGCUCCAAUACUAGCUGCAACAAUCCAUGCUCUCCUACUUGAAC